rnacentral:rRNA from 1 species
UACGUAGGUGGCAAGCGUUAAUCGGAAUUACUGGGCGUAAAGCGUGCGCAGGCGGUUUUGUAAGUUUGUCGUGAAAGCCCCGGGCUCAACCUGGGAAUUGCGAUGAAGACUGCAAGGCUUGAAUCUGGCAGAGGGGGGUAGAAUUCCACGUGUAGCAGUGAAAUGCGUAGAGAUGUGGAGGAACACCGAUGGCGAAGGCAGCCUCCUGGGCCAGCACUGACGCUCAUGCACGAAAGCGUGGGGAGCAAACAGG